UACGUAGGGUGCAAGCGUUAAUCGGAAUUACUGGGCGUAAAGCGUGCGCAGGCGGUGAUGUAAGACAGAUGUGAAAUCCCCGGGCUCAACCUGGGAACUGCAUUUGUGACUGCAUCGCUGGAGUGCGGCAGAGGGGAUGGAAUUCCGCGUGUAGCAGUGAAAUGCGUAGAUAUGCGGAGGAACACCGAUGGCGAAGGCAAUCCCCUGGACCUGUACUGACGCUCAUGCACGAAAGCGUGGGGAGCAAACAGG
rnacentral:rRNA from 1 species